UAGGGUAAUGAAGCAGAUGCCAUAACCUUGGAUGCCGGUUGGGUGUAUGAGGCAGGCCUGACUCCCAACAACCUAAAGCCUGUGGCAGCAGAGACCUAUGGGAUACCUGAAAAGCCACAAACUUCCUACUUGGCUGUGGCCGUGGUGAAGAAGGAUACAGGCUUCCAGCUGAACGAGC